rnacentral:rRNA from 1 species
UUGACCUCAAAUCAGGUAGGACUACCCGCUGAACUUAAGCAUAUCAAUAAGCGGAGGAAAAGAAACUAACAAGGAUUCCCCUAGUAACUGCGAGUGAAGCGGGAAAAGCUCAAAUUUGAAAUCUGGCGGUUCUCGACUGUCCGAGUUGUAAUCUAGAGAAGUGUUACCNGUGCUGGACCGUGUACAAGUUUCCUGGAAUGGAGCAUCAUAGAGGGUGAGAAUCCCGUCUUUGACACGGACUGCCUGUACGUUGUGGUGCGCUCUCGAAGAGUCGAGUUGUUUGGGAAUGCAGCUCAAAAUGGGUGGUAAAUGCCAUCUAAAGCUAAAUAUUGGCGAGAGACCGAUAGCGAACAAGUACCGUGAGGGAAAGAUGAAAAGAACUUUGGAAAUAGAGUUAAACAGUACGUGAAAUUGCUGAAAGGGAAACGCUUGAAGUCAGUCGCGUUGGCUAGAAAUCAACCUUUGCUUCUGCUUGGUGUACUUUCUGGUCAACGGGUCAGCAUCAAUUUGGACCAUGGGAUAAAGUCAUUGGGAAUGUAGCAUCUUUGGAUGUGUUAUAGCCCAUUGUCGCAUACAGUGGUNGGGAUAGAGGAACUCAGCACGCCGCAAGGCCGGGUCU